UCUGAUGCUGGGGGAGGGUCUGAUGCUAGACUAGGGUCUGAUGCUGGGGGAAGGUCUGAUGCUGGGUAGGGUCUGAUGCUGGACUAGGGCCUGAUGCUUGGGGAGGGUCUGAUGCUCUGGAAAGGUCUGAUGCUAGACUAGGGCCUGAUGCUGGGGGAAGGUCUGAUGCUUGAGGAGGGCCUGAUGCUGGACUAGGGUCUGAUGCUGGGGGGAAGUCCUGAUGAUGGUGGGCAGCCUGCUCCCAGAUACACAGAGUUGUGAUUAUAAAUCUCUGUGAGAAAGCUCUUUUUCAUACUUUCCUGACCAACUUGCUGUGUUCUUUUUUUCUGAAGCAUAAUUGCUGUGCAGUAUCUGAUUUCUGCCAUACAUCAAUAUGAAUUAGCCAUAGAUGAACGUAUGUCUCCUCCCUCUUGAAUCUCCCUCCCACCUCCCCUUGCUACAUUCUUGUUUCUAUGGAUAUAUGAAUAAUAAAGACUGUUGACUAAAAUAACAUAAAAAGCUCCCACACACAGGCGUGCACACGCACACUCCCUAGUGCAUCAUUCGGGUCCGCAUCAGGGUUGCCCUCGGCCACCCCGCCCUGGGAUCCACGGUGAGCCUUGACACCUGCACUUUGUUCCCAUCCUCGGCCCGCUGCCCACGCCUCCGCAGCAGAGGGGCCCUGUCCCCGCAGGUGCUGAAGUGAUGGAGCCUCUUGCCUCCAGAGCCAAGAGUAUGAAUACCAGGUCGGUCGUCCUUUGGGGACAUCUAUGCUUCCGCCUUCUAGCCUUUCCAUUGUAUCCAUCCGUUUCUCUUAACAAUGUCCGAUGACACGGGCUCCCAUUACCAGCUCUGGUCUGUUCUCAGAGUACAGCUUACCCUCGGCACACUCUAUUGGCAGUGGGAAAUUUUCCUUCAGUACUUUAUUGAAAGAAAGCAAUAAAUAAUACUGUGAUAAAAAUAGUUCAAAAGUAGACUGUACGUACUUUGUCACAUAUUCAGGAAGUUCACCAAAGAUUAGUAGAAAAACAGAAUGGUAACAAUGAAUUGUACAAGUAAAUUAAAGGUGGAGCCCACAUGUAAAGAGACAUGCCGUCUCUGUCUACUGAGACAUCACUGCAUAAUAAAUAACGCACUGUGAUCUG